CCAGCUUCACUUGGAUCCAGCUAGCAGUAACACACUCCCGGCAAGCGGUAAUGGUGCCAUCACGCAAAAUCUAAAAGUCACUAACAGCCAGCAUGGGAAGAAAUCCCUUGUGAUGCGCAUGAGGAUUGGGUACAAACUGAACGAAAAAGAUGUAUUAGAGGAAGGACAAGUCAGCAACUUCCCUCGCGGGUUGUGAACUACUCGAUCGGCCAUUGUAUUUUCAGCAUAAGGACUUGAGUGUUUAUUUUCAUCGGCCCGACUAGAAAAAGAAAGACAAGUCUUGCCCAAGCCGUUGAUGCAGCAGAAGCAGCUUUCUCCCUCCAAUUUUUUUCAUUUCCUGGAACAAAUACUUUGGCCUUUUGUUUGGUAUUUGAGGUUCUUGUGUGUUUUAUUUUGUACAAAAGUUCAUUCUCCUUUACAAUAAUUCAUUCUAAACAAAUAUUUUGUUCGAGAAAGGAAAAAAAAAAUAGAGAUAAUGUGAAAUGAAAUUUUGAAAAGCUUAAAUCAUUAAAUCAA